UUUUAAAUGAUACAAGUUGAUUAACACUCUUUGGGCUUACCACAUAGCCCGAGGGAAGGUGAAGGGUCAAUUCGGUGCCUAUGUAAAAUUCCCGAUCAAUCUUAUGACGCCGCAGACAAAGUUUCAAGUAUGAAUCGGCGCUCCGAGAGGCUUUUAUCUGUGUUACUCGUAGCUCAUAUUUUUGCGACUGUUUUUGAUCAUUCAGUUGCUGAUUCUUUUGGUCAUACUCGUAAGUGCAUCGUACCAGGAGAUCACCCAUGCCAUCAGCUUUAAAGUUGAGUGUUUGAUUAUGUGCUUUAAGAUGUGUCGCCCCACAUGGAUACGGUGAGGUCUACUGGAGGAUCAUCUUUAUGUGAUAGGACAUAAUUGUAGACAGCUUGUCUGGCCAUGAAGCAUUCAAAGCAGUUUUCUUUACAGCUGUCUCCAAAUAGUCGAUGAAUCAGCCAUUUAUAGAUCUCCAGCUGUGGAACUUUCUUUCGAGAUAUUUGUCCGUUAAGGAUACGCGCCGAAGUUUCUAUAUUACGGCGAUGCUCCGGCCAGUUACCGUCUGUCUGCUCAGCAGGUCGGAUCCAAUCUGGAAAAUUAUGACCACGUUUGGCUGCAAGAUGGUAAUUGCUAUUGUUCUGCAUCUGCUUGCUGAUCCAACUGUGAGACUCUUGUAUGCGUAUCAUUCGAGUCGAUAAUUGCAACACCUUGAGCACAUCAAGAGACAGCUCCAAUUGAUCAAGUUUUCGUCGUUGUGGUGUCACACAUUUAUCUAUAAAUUGUAUAUUAUUGGGACGGCGAAGGAGCAGAAAAUUCUCAAGUUGAAUCUGCAGCCGAAUGUCGAAUUUUAAUGGAGUUGUCUGCAAAAAGUGCAAUGCGUGCAAAGCAUAAGCUGUUAACCAGGUUGAGCUACAAUUAGAUCUUGGCUCUUCGUCGUAUGUAAAGCUUCCAUCACGUCCCCUAAAUCGCAGCAGCGAUUGAAAGCCAUCAUUCAACUGAUCAUCCAGAAACUGGCGCCAGCGAUGACUGAUCGAAUCCUGAGUCUGGACAUAGUCCCAUAGGAAAUAGAUAGACAACAGUUUAGUGAUUAACUGCUCUCCAUUGUCCAUUCGAUCAAUAGACUUGAAGUUUUGCAUA